GAUGAAGAACGUAGUAAAAUGCGAUACUUGGUGUGAAUUGCAGAAUCCCGUGAACCAUCGAGUUUUUGAACGCAAGUUGUGCCCGAAGCCUUUUGGCCGAGGGCACGUCUGCCUGGGCGUCACGCAUCGCGUCGCCCCCCACAAUUCUCCGUAAAGGGAACGUGUGUUUUGGGGGCGGAUAUUGGUCUCCCGUGCUCAUGGCGUGGUUGGCCGAAAUAGGAGUCCUUUCGAUGGACGCACGAACUAGUGGUGGUCGUAAAAACCCUCGUCUUUUGUUUCGUGCUGUUGCUCGCAAGGUAAACUCUUUAAAAACCCCAAUGUGUCGUCUCUUGACGACGCUUCGACCGCGACCCCAGGUCAGGCGGGACUACCCGCUGAGUUUAAGCAUAUCAAUAAGCGGAGGA
rnacentral:misc_RNA from 1 species